GGUGGAUUAGCUCAGUUGGUUAGAGCAUCGUCUUGAUAAGGCGGGGGCCAUAGGUUCAAGUCCUAUAUCCACCA
rnacentral:tRNA from 1 species